ACGGGUCAUCUGUGACACCCUCUCCCCACAGCGCAUCCUUGGCCCACCCAUGUCUGUCCCCUUACUGUUUUCCAGACCCUCAGAUCCACUUCUCACAGCCAUUUACCCCCGUCCCCCACCCCUACCCCAUGCCCAGCAUCACCAAGGUCACCCGGGCCCCUGUGUGACCCUCACACGCACGCACCCUCAUGCCGGCACACGCACCCUACAGCUCACACUUACUGGGACACACAUCCUGGCACGUGUUUGCACACACACGUGAAUCCAGGGUCCACAGCCUCAGCCGCAUGCCCGCUCUGGGGUCCAGCAGCCGGAUCGCUCUCCAGAAAGUGCCAUAGGAAGCAGACGUCAUCCUGACCUGGCAAGCACUUUGGGGUGUCACCCGCAGCCAUGCCGCAUUGAGAAGAAUGAGUGCAAUAAAAACGUGAGCUUGUUUGAUAACA